AGUGAACGCUGGCGGUAGGCCUAACACAUGCAAGUCGAACGGCAGCACAGUAAGAGCUUGCUCUUACGGGUGGCGAGUGGCGGACGGGUGAGGAAUACAUCGGAAUCUACUUUUUCGUGGGGGAUAACGUAGGGAAACUUACGCUAAUACCGCAUACGACCUACGGGUGAAAGCAGGGGAUCUUCGGACCUUUCGCGAUUGAAUGAGCCGAUGUCGGAUUAGCUAGUUGGCGGGGUAAAGGCCCACCAAGGCGACGAUCCGUAGCUGGUCUGAGAGGAUGAUCAGCCACACUGGAACUGAGACACGGUCCAGACUCCUACGGGAGGCAGCAGUGGGGAAUAGUGGACAAUGGGCGAAAGCCUGAUCCAGCAAUACCGCGUGGGUGAAGAAGGCCUUCGGGUUGUAAAGCCCUUUUGUUGGGAAAGAAAAGCAGCAGGUUAAUACCCCGCUGUUCUGACGGUACCAAAAGAAUAAGCACCGGCUAACUUCGUG
rnacentral:rRNA from 1 species